AGCGAACGCUGGCGGCAGGCUUAACACAUGCAAGUCGAGCGGGCCCUUCGGGGUCAGCGGCAGACGGGUGAGUAACACGUGGGAACGUACCCUUCGGUUCGGAAUAACUCAGGGAAACUUGAGCUAAUACCGGAUACGCCCUUUGGGGGAAAGGUUUACUGCCGAAGGAUCGGCCCGCGUCUGAUUAGCUAGUUGGUGGGGUAAUGGCCCACCAAGGCGACGAUCAGUAGCUGGUCUGAGAGGAUGANCAGCCACACUGGGACUGAGACACGGCCCAGACUCCUACGGGAGGCAGCAGUGGGGAAUAUUGGACAAUGGGCGCAAGCCUGAUCCAGCCAUGCCGCGUGAGUGAUGAAGGCCUUUAGGGUUGUAAAGCUCUUUCGCUCGCGACGAUAAUGACGGUAGCGAGAGAAGAAGCCCCCGGCUAACUUCGUGCCAGCAGCCGCCGCU
rnacentral:rRNA from 1 species